CUGCUGACCACAAGACAUCACCAAGCAAGGCUCCACCCUUCAAAACCCAAUCUCUUGCCUUAUUUGGGUGGAUUUUCCCCAAUAAAUACGGGGAUUUCAGAACCCAAGAAUUUCAUUUAUUUUGCACUUGUCUCCUGAUUCUUGGCUUGAGGCAGAAUUCCAGGGAUACUGACAAUGAACUAAAACAUAAUGAACAUCAAAGGAGACCUAUGUACACUGCAAAUACUCUGGUGAG